GAUGAACGCUAGCGGCAGGCCUAAUACAUGCAAGUCGAGGGGUAGAAGAGGCUUGCUUCUUUGAGACCGGCGCACGGGUGCGUAACGCGUAUGCAACCUACCUUCAUCUGGGGGAUAGCCCGGAGAAAUCCGGAUUAAUACCGCAUAAAAUCACAGGAUGGCAUUAUCCAAUGAUCAAACAUUUAUGGGAUGGAGAUGGGCAUGCGUGUCAUUAGCUAGUUGGCGGGGUAACGGCCCACCAAGGCGACGAUGACUACGGGAUCUGAGAGGAUGGCCCCCCACACUGGAACUGAGACACGGACCAGACUCCUACGGGAGGCAGCAGUAAGGAAUAUUGGUCAAUGGAGGCAACUCUGAACCAGCCAUGCCGCGUGCAGGAAGACUGCCCUAUGGGUUGUAAACUGCUUUUAUUCGGGAAUAAACCUUAUUACGUGUAAUAAGCUGAAUGUACCGAAGGAAUAAGGAUCGGCUAACUCCGUGCCAGCAGCCGCAGUAA
rnacentral:rRNA from 1 species